rnacentral:rRNA from 1 species
AGGGAAUAUUGCGCAAUGGGCGAAAGCCUGACGCAGCGACGCCGCGUGAGUGAUGAAGGCCUUCGGGUCGUAAAGCUCUGUUGAAUGGGAAGAAACAAAUGACGGUACCAUUCGAGGAAGGACCGGCUAACUUCGUGCCAGCAGCCGCGGUAAGACGAGGGGUCCUAGCGUUGUUCGGAAUCAUUGGGCGUAAAGCGUGUGUAGGUGGCCAUGUAAGUCAGGUGUGAAAGCCCCGGGCUCAACCCGGGAAGUGCAUCUGAUACUGCGUGGCUUGAGUACCAAAGAGGAUAGUGGAAUUCCAGGUGUAGUGGUGAAAUACGUAGAUAUCUGGAGGAACACCGGUGGCGAAGGCGGCUAUCUGGUUGAGUACUGACACUGAGACACGAAAGCGUGGGGAUCAAA